AGUGAACGCUGGCGGUAGGCCUAACACAUGCAGGUCGAACGGCAGCACAGUAAGAGCUUGCUCUUACGGGUGGCGAGUGGCGGACGGGUGAGGAAUACAUCGGAAUCUACUUUUUCGUGGGGGAUAACGUAGGGAAACUUACGCUAAUACCGCAUACGACCUACGGGUGAAAGCAGGGGAUCUUCGGACCUUGCGCGAUUGAAUGAGCCGAUGUCGGAUUAGCUAGUUGGCGGGGUAAAGGCCCACCAAGGCGACGAUCCGUAGCUGGUCUGAGAGGAUGAUCAGCCACAGUGGAACUGAGAGACGGUCCAGACUCCUACGGGAGGCAGCGGUGGGGAAUAUUGGACAAUGGGCGCAAGCCUGAUCCAGCCAUACCGCGUGGGUGAAGAAGGCCUUCGGGUGGUAAAGCCCUUUUGUUGGGAAAGAAAAGCAGCAGGUUAAUACCCCGCUGUUCUGACGGUACCCAAAGAAUAAGCACCGGCUAACUUCGU
rnacentral:rRNA from 1 species